rnacentral:rRNA from 1 species
GAUGAACGCUGGCGGCGUGCCUAAUACAUGCAAGUCGAGCGAACGGACGAGAAGCUUGCUUCUCUGAUGUUAGCGGCGGACGGGUGAGUAACACGUGGAUAACCCACCUAUAAGACUGGGAUAACUUCGGGAAACCGGAGCUAAUACCGGAUAAUAUUUUGAACCGCAUGGUGCAAAAGUGAAAGACGGUCUUGCUGUCACUUAUAGAUGGAUCCGCGCUGCAUUAGCUAGUUGGUAAGGUAACGGCUUACCAAGGCAACGAUGCAUAGCCGACCUGAGAGGGUGAUCGGCCACACUGGAACUGAGACACGGUCCAGACUCCUACGGGAGGCAGCAGUAGGGAAUCUUCGGCAAUGGGCGAAAGCCUGACGGAGCAACGCCGCGUGUGUGAUGAAGGUCUUCGGAUCGUAAAACUCUGUUAUUAGGGAAGAACAUAUGUGUAAGUAACUGUGCACAGCUUGACGGUACCUGAUCAGAAAGCCACGGCUAACUACGUG